AUAUUAUGAGACCUUAAAGCUGUGUUGUCACUGCCAAGAUGCCGACGGCCGGAGGCACCCACUUUGAGCUUCACAACGGCUCUUCAGAAACCUAUGAAUGACGUCACAGAGACUACGUCUAUAUUUUAUACAGUCUAUGG